GUGGGGAAUCUUGCGCAAUGGGCGAAAGCCUGACGCAGCCAUGCCGCGUGAAUGAUGAAGGUCUUAGGAUUGUAAAAUUCUUUCACCGGGGACGAUAAUGACGGUACCCGGAGAAGAAGCUCCGGCUAACUUCGUGCCAGCAGCCGCGGUAAUACGAAGGGGGCUAGCGUUGCUCGGAAUUACUGGGCGUAAAGGGCGCGUAGGCGGACAGCUUAUUCAGAGGUGAAAGCCCAGGGCUCAACCUUGGAAUUGCCUUUGAUACUGGCUGUCUUGAGUUUGUGAGGGGUGAGUGGAACUCCGAGUGUAGAGGUGAAAUUCGUAGAUAUUCGGAAGAACACCAGUGGCGAAGGCGACUCACUGGCCCAAUACUGACGCUGAGGCGCGAAAGCGUGGGGAGCAAACAGGAUUAGAUACCCGUGUAGUCC
rnacentral:rRNA from 1 species